rnacentral:rRNA from 1 species
AGCGAACGCUGGCGGCAGGCUUAACACAUGCAAGUCGAACGGGCACUUCGGUGCUAGUGGCAGACGGGUGAGUAACACGUGGGAACGUACCUUUCGGUUCGGAAUAAUACAGGGAAACUUGUACUAAUACCGGAUACGCCCUUCGGGGGAAAGAUUUAUCGCCGAUUGAUCGGCCCGCGUCUGAUUAGCUAGUUGGUGAGGUAAUGGCUCACCAAGGCGACGAUCAGUAGCUGGUCUGAGAGGAUGAUCAGCCACACUGGGACUGAGACACGGCCCAGACUCCUACGGGAGGCAGCAGUGGGGAAUAUUGGACAAUGGGCGCAAGCCUGAUCCAGCCAUGCCGCGUGUGUGAUGAAGGCCUUAGGGUUGUAAAGCACUUUUGUCCGGGAAGAUAAUGACUGUACCGGAAGAAUAAGCCCCGGCUAACUUCGUGCCAGCAGCCGCGGUAAUACGAAGGGGGCUAGCGUUGCUCGGAAUCACUGGGCGUAAAGGGCGCGUAGGCGGACUCUUAAGUCGGGGGUGAAAGCCCAGGGCUCAACCCUGGAAUUGCCUUCGAUACUGAGAGUCUUGAGUUCGGAAGAGGUUGGUGGAACUGCGAGUGUAGAGGUGAAAUUCGUAGAUAUUCGCAAGAACACCAGUGGCGAAGGCGGCCAACUGGUCCGAUACUGACGCUGAGGCG